UGCGGAGGGAUCAUUACAAGUGACCCCGGUUUACCACCGGGAUGUUCAUAACCCUUUGUUGUCCGACUCUGUUGCCUCCGGGGCGACCCUGCCUUCGGGCGGGGGCUCCGGGUGGACACUUCAAACUCUUGCGUAACUUUGCAGUCUGAGUAAACUUAAUUAAUAAAUUAAAACUUUUAACAACGGAUCUCUUGGUUCUGGCAUCGAUGAAGAACGCAGCGAAAUGCGAUAAGUAAUGUGAAUUGCAGAAUUCAGUGAAUCAUCGAAUCUUUGAACGCACAUUGCGCCCCCUGGUAUUCCGGGGGGCAUGCCUGUUCGAGCGUCAUUUCACCACUCAAGCCUCGCUUGGUAUUGGGCAACGCGGUCCGCCGCGUGCCUCAAAUCGACCGGCUGGGUCUUCUGUCCCCUAAGCGUUGUGGAAACUAUUCGCUAAAGGGUGCUCGGGAGGCUACGCCGUAAAACAACCCCAUUUCUAAGGUUGACCUCGGAUCAGGUAGGGAUACCCGCUGAACUUAAGCAUAUCAA
rnacentral:rRNA from 1 species